GCAUAUUGUCUUGCCAAAAAAAGAAAAAAAGGAUAACCCCUUCAUUUCAUUUCCCAUGUCCCCUAUACAUUUGUGAACCAUAAAACCCUACUAUAACGCAAACCUCCUCCAUCCUAUGAUAAGUCCCGUCAAGUAAACACUAAUAAGACAUUCUAGGAGCUUAAUAUCUACGACUGAACCAUUUCAGGAGAUGUAAUCCUUGGCUAACUUGCUAAUUUUUUUCUCUGGAUGCUAGUUCAUCCAUGCAUUCAAAUAAUCUUAUCAAACUGGAACAUAAUGUCGAGUGUUCUUGCAGAGCUUUUAACUAUCCAGAUGAAUCUCCCUUUUCUAAGAUGUGAGGUCAGAAAUGAUCUAAUUUUUGGGAGACAGAUAAAAGGUUAGUAAAAGUUAGAACCACCUAAGAGCUUAGACUGGAAUCCAUGUUAGUCAUGGCAAGCAAAAACAGGCUUGCUCUUAACAUAUUCAGACCAGAGAACAGUUUGGCAGGCAGUUCAUUGUAAACUACUGGGCCUCCCAGUUGCAGGUAUAGAGGUGGCUUGAGGGAAAGCAUGAUGAACCAUCAUAUCUGAUGCAGCAGUCGAUGAUGCACCACCCUUCACUGUUUGCUCCAAAAGACGAACAAGUGACAUAAAUACUUCCAUCCUUGUCACAUCCCUGUUUGCCUCCACUGUGAAUCGUGCCCAGAUCUUAUCAUUCCAAGCUUCCAUCACGCCCUUCAAGAUUGUCAACCCCAAUCCCCUAAUUAAGUCGGCUAUCUCUAGAAAGAAACCCCUUUCUUCACAUAGCAUCUCCACAAGCAUCUGACGAGGUGCGCUCAGAUCCUCAACUAUAAUAGGGCAGACCAUAGAUUGAGACCCAACUUCAAAUGCCCAAGUUGCCCCUCCCUCAAAACUGUCCUUUAAAAGAAGUCCACCUUCCUUGUUAAUAAUCUUAGAUUCCCCAGUUUGUUUUAGCUUGUCUGCAUGCUUUGUCACACUUUGCAAGAAUUGCAUAUGUUUGAUGGUACGUUCAAGCAAAGCAUCUAUGCUGCAUUUUGCCCCAUUUGGUACAAUUUCCCGCAACUCUUUCACCCUAUCUUGGAUCAUCUGACGAUCUUUUGGCCUGGGCCUGGGGUUCUCUCCAGGUUUAAGCCUUUUGCGAUUUGGUUUGCUCAAUNNNNNNNNNNNNNUGGAAUAUGCAGUUGAAACACUCUUAUCACGCCUAAUAUUGGGGCCAACCCAUGAACUCAGUUGGGAUC
rnacentral:misc_RNA from 1 species